rnacentral:rRNA from 1 species
CGCUGGCGGCGUGCCUAAUACAUGCAAGUCGAACGGUCUUUCUAUGGAAGCUUGCUUCCACUGAGAAGAUAGUGGCGAACGGGUGAGUAACACGUGGGUAACCUGCCCAUAAGAGGGGGAUAACAUCCGGAAACGGGUGCUAAUACCGCAUAGUUUUCUUGAUCGCAUGAUCGGGAAAGGAAAGACGGCCUUUGUGCUGUCGCUUAUGGAUGGACCCGCGGCGUAUUAGUUAGUUGGUGAGGUAACGGCUCACCAAGACGAUGAUACGUAGCCGACCUGAGAGGGUGAUCGGCCACAUUGGGACUGAGACACGGCCCAAACUCCUACGGGAGGCAGCAGUAGGGAAUCUUCCGCAAUGGACGAAAGUCUGACGGAGCAACGCCGCGUGAGUGAAGAAAGGUUUUCGGAUCGUAAAACUCUGUUGUCAGAGAAGAACAAGUUGGAGAGUAACUGCUCCAGCCUUGACGGUAUCUGACCAGAAAGCCACGGCUAACUACGUGCCAGCCGCCGC